rnacentral:rRNA from 1 species
UCGAACGGUGAACACGGAGCUUGCUCUGUGGGAUCAGUGGCGAACGGGUGAGUAACACGUGAGCAACCUGCCCCUGACUCUGGGAUAAGCGCUGGAAACGGCGUCUAAUACUGGAUAUGUGACGUGAUCACAUGGUCUGCGUCUGGAAAGAAUUUCGGUUGGGGAUGGGCUCGCGGCCUAUCAGCUUGUUGGUGAGGUAAUGGCUCACCAAGGCGUCGACGGGUAGCCGGCCUGAGAGGGUGACCGGCCACACUGGGACUGAGACACGGCCCAGACUCCUACGGGAGGCAGCAGUGGGGAAUAUUGCACAAUGGGCGCAAGCCUGAUGCAGCAACGCCGCGUGAGGGACGACGGCCUUCGGGUUGUAAACCUCUUUUAGCAGGGAAGAAGCGAAAGUGACGGUACCUGCAGAAAAAGCGCCGGCUAACUACGUGCCAGCAGCCGCGGUAAUACGUAGGGCGCAAGCGUUAUCCGGAAUUAUUGGGCGUAAAGAGCUCGUAGGCGGUUUGUCGCGUCUGCUGUGAAAUCCGGAGGCUCAACCUCCGGCCUGCAGUGGGUACGGGCAGACUAGAGUGCGGUAGGGGAGAUUGGAAUUCCUGGUGUAGCGGUGGAAUGCGCAGAUAUCAGGAGGAACACCGAUGGCGAAGGCAGAUCUCUGGGCCGUAACUGACGCUGAGGAGCGAAAGGGUGGGGAG